UAGGGAAUCUUCGGCAAUGGGGGGAACCCUGACCGAGCAACGCCGCGUGAGUGAAGAAGGUUUUCGGAUCGUAAAGCUCUGUUGUUAAGGAAGAACGAGUGUGAGAAUGGAAAGUUCAUGCUGUGACGGUACUUAACCAGAAAGGGACGGCUAACUACGUGCCAGCAGCCGCGGUAAUACGUAGGUCCCGAGCGUUGUCCGGAUUUAUUGGGCGUAAAGUGAGCGCAGGCGGUUAGAAAAGUCUGAAGUGAAAGGCAGUGGCUCAACCAUUGUAGGCUUUGGAAACUGUUUAACUUGAGUGCAGAGGGGGAGAGUGGAAUUCCAUGUGUAGCGGUGAAAUGCGUAGAUAUAUGGAGGAACACCGGUGGCGAAAGCGGCUCUCUGGUCUGUAACUGACGCUGAGGCUCGAAAGCGUGGGGAGCGAACAGG
rnacentral:rRNA from 1 species